UGUGUGUGAGGCCAGGGGCGGAGCCAGACCUGUAAAACACCCGGGGCUUAGACCAGAAUGGCCGAAGGGGUUAGGGUAAAAAAAAACAGACUGAAAAAAGUACAGUUGCAGAGUACAAUUUUAGAUUUAUUGCCAGCACAAUCUACUCUAGAAAAAAAAUAUCACAUUUGUAUCACAUAAAUAAUAAUAAUAAUAAUAACAAUAAGAAGGAGAAUGAUAAUCAAUACAAAAGAUGCUGAACAUUUUUCAAAAUGUAUGUAACUUUUAACAUUUACACAGUAAGUACUUCAAUCCAGGAUAAAACCACUGAACUGGCAUUAAACAACAAUGCAGAACUACAAAAAAAGCAAACAAACAAACAAAAUAGGGCUGUAUCAGGGCAAAUUUUGCACUAC